UACGUAGGGGGCGAGCGUUGUCCGGAUUCAUUGGGCGUAAAGAGCUCGUAGGCGGCCAACUAAGUCAUACGUGAAAUCCCUCGGCUUAACCGGGGAACUGCGUCUGAUACUGGAUGGCUUGAGUUCGGGAGAGGGAUGCGGAAUUCCAGGUGUAGCGGUGAAAUGCGUAGAUAUCUGGAGGAAUACCGGUGGCGAAGGCGGCAUCCUGGACCGACAUUGACGCUGAACGGCGAAAGCUAGGGGAGCAACGGG
rnacentral:rRNA from 1 species